rnacentral:rRNA from 1 species
UUGGCUCAGGAUGAACGCUGGCGGCAGGCUUAACACAUGCAAGUCGAGGGGCAGCGGACUGUAGCAAUACGGUGCCGGCGACCGGCGGAAGGGUGCGGAACACGUGAGCAACCUGCCCGUGACAGGGGGAUAACCGGAGGAAACUCCGCCUAAUACCCCGUAACAACAGGGACCGCAUGAUCCUUGUUUGAAAGUUCCGAUGGUCACGGAUGGGCUCGCGCAGCAUUAGCUAGUUGGCGGGGCAACGGCCCACCAAGGCGACGAUGCUUAGGGGUUCUGAGAGGAAGAUCCCCCACACUGGGACUGAGACACGGCCCAGACUCCUACGGGAGGCAGCAGUGGGGAAUA